AGAGUUUGAUCAUGGCUCAGAACGAACGCUGGCGGCGCGUUUUAAGCAUGCAAGUCGAACGGCAGCUUUGGUAGCAAUACUGAAGCGAGAGUGGCGAACGGGUGAGUAAGACGUAGGUGAUCUACCCCUGGAUGGGGGAUAGUCCGUGGAAACACGGGGUAAUACCGCAUGAGGCCUUGGGGGUGAAGCCCCGAGGUGAAAGCUCCAACUGGAGCGUCUGGGGAUGAGCCUGCGGCCCAUUAGGCAGUUGGCGGGGUAACGGCCCACCAAACCGACGAUGGGUAGCCGGCCUGAGAGGGUGUACGGCCACACUGGAACUGAGACACGGUCCAGACUCCUACGGGAGGCAGCAGCUAAGAAUCUUCCGCAAUGGGGGAAACCCUGACGGAGCGACGCCGCGUGGACGAUGAAGGCCGUAAGGUUGUAAAGUCCUUUUGCAGGUGAAGAAUAAGCCGGGGAGUGGAAAGCCCUGGUGAUGACGUUAGCCUGCGAAUAAGCCCCGGCCAAUUACGUGCCAGCAGCCGCGGUAAUACGUAUGGGGCGAGCGUUGUUCGGAGUUAUUGGGCGUAAAGGGCGUGUAGGCGGCCCGAGAAGUCUGGUGUGAAAUCGCAGGGCUCAACCCUGCGGGUGCGCUGGAAACUGACGGGCUGGAGUCCCGGGGGGGAAGCUGGAAUUCCUGGUGUAGGAGUGAAAUCUGUAGAGAUCAGGAAGAACACCGGUGGCGAAGGCGAGCUUCUAUUCGAGGACUGACGCUGAGCGCGAAAGCGUGGGGAGCAAACAGGAUUAGAUACCCUGGUAGUCCACGCUGUAAACGAUGUGCACUAGGCGUGGGGCACGUCGGUGCUCUGUGCGUAGCUACGCGAUAGUGCACCGCUGGGGAGUAUGCUCGCAGGGUGAACUCAAAGGAUG
rnacentral:rRNA from 1 species